UACGUAGGGGGCAAGCGUUGUCCGGAUUUAUUGGGCGUAAAGCGCUCGCAGGUGGUUCAUUGCGUCGUGCGUGAAAGACCCCGGCUCAACUGGGGAGGGUCGUGCGAAACGGGUGAACUAGAGGCCAGUAGGGGGAUGCGGAAUUCCGGGUGUAGUGGUGGAAUGCGUAGAGAUCCGGAGGAACACCAGCGGCGAAGGCGGCAUCCUGGACUGGUCCUGACACUGAGAGACGAAAGCUAGGGGAGCGAAUGGG
rnacentral:rRNA from 1 species